rnacentral:rRNA from 1 species
UGGGGAAUAUUGCACAAUGGGCGAAAGCCUGAUGCAGCAACGCCGCGUGAGUGAUGAAGGUCUUCGGAUUGUAAAGCUCUGUCUUUUGGGACGAUAAUGACGGUACCAAAGGAGGAAGCCACGGCUAACUACGUGCCAGCAGCCGCGGUAAUACGUAGGUGGCGAGCGUUGUCCGGAUUUACUGGGCGUAAAGGGUGCGUAGGCGGAUGUUUAAGUGAGAUGUGAAAUACCCGGGCUUAACUUGGGUGCUGCAUUUCAAACUGGAUAUCUAGAGUGCAGGAGAGGAGAAUGGAAUUCCUAGUGUAGCGGUGAAAUGCGUAGAGAUUAGGAAGAACACCAGUGGCGAAGGCGAUUCUCUGGACUGUAACUGACGCUGAGGCACGAAAGCGUGGGUAGCAAACAGGAUUAGAUACCCUGGUAGUCCACGCCGUAAACGAUGAGUACUAGGUGUAGGAGGUAUCGACCCCUUCUGUGCCGCAGUAAACACAUUAAGUACUCCGCCUGGGGGAGUACGAUCG